UUAAGGUUUAUUUUGUUGGACAUUUCCUUUUCUGGAGUUUUACUUGCUUCCAACAAGGAAGAUGAGUUUUCCUGCUUCCAUGACAAUGAAAAGCAAACAACUACUUUCUGAAGUUUCAGCUCACUUCCAACAAGGGAGGCAAGUUUCAGUAUUUCCUGCUUGUAGGCUGGUAGAGAGCAGUCUUGAGCCUGGGGCCCAUUCCUAGAGAAGACUUGGGACCCUCAAGGAGUUGCCCAAACUUGGAGCUAAGGUACCAGCAUGGGCCCACUGAAAGCCUCUCCAGCUUCAAGCUUCUCAUAUGGUGGAACUGUGUCCUGCCCUUCCCAGCCUGGUACCUUGGCCCUUCAGUUUCUGAAAACUGUCCAAAGGACCUGCAUAUUGUUAAGAAGAGCUACGAAAUGUACCAGAGAGAAAGAUCAGGUGAGCUGGUGCCUAAUUCAUUACUGUGAGGUCUCCUCUCUCGGACACUUGUGAUGUCCUGGUCGUCAGUGCUGUGAACUGUGAGAUCAGAACCAAGUAGAGAGAAUGAAAGAUCAAGUUAGAGAUAUUUCAAGCAAGGAUAGAAGGCAGGGAGCAAAGCAUAUAUGGGCUCGAGACUUAUAAUAAGGAACAGCAGGACAAGCACAGAGGCGUUCUUGGAUUGUUGGCUUUAGAGGUCCUGUCAAUUAUAUUCUACUGCUCCAGAGAAUGAAAAUUGCUUAAAAUUGGCUUCUUAAGCAGAGUUUACAAACUGGCAGCUCCAGCUUGCGUCUGUUUUGCAGACCUGAUUUAGAUGGCCGGCAUACUUUUCAAUAAAACGUAUUUCAGUUAGUUACCAACAUUUAAAGAACUGAAGAACAUUUCAUAUAAACAUUUUGAUUUGGAGCCAAUCUUGAAAAACUGAAUAAUUCAGCAGUCUUGGCCCAAAUUGCCAGCCAGCAACACUGAGCUGGAGCUGAAUACUGGCUGCCCCUUUGGAAAAGACAUAUUGUUUCCCAGUUUGCCACAAUCCCUACCCUGCUUGCUUCUCUCCUUUAUGUUACCUGUCUGGCCUUGUCAACAUUUGAAUUUACAACUCUGAUCAUUACAAUUUUUCUGUUAUGCAAACUGUC
rnacentral:lncRNA from 1 species